UACGGGGGGGGCAAGCGUUGUUCGGAAUUACUGGGCGUAAAGGGCUCGUAGGUUGCCAACUAAGUCAGACGUGAAAUCCCUCGGCUUAACCGGGGAACUGCGUCUGAUACUGGAUGGCUUGAGUUCGGGAGAGGGAUGCGGAAUUCCAGGUGUAGCGGUGAAAUGCGUAGAUAUCUGGAGGAACACCGGUGGCGAAGGCGGCAUCCUGGACCGAUACUGACGCUGAGGUGCGAAAGCGUGGGUAGCAAACAGG
rnacentral:rRNA from 1 species